UGGUGUUUUACAAGAUGUGCUUAAGACGCAAAUGGGUGGUGGUGGAAGGAAGUCUUGCGUCAAUAUCACUUUGCGUGAUAUUGGAGGAAACGUGAUCGAGGUUGCAUUGUGGGAUGAUUACUGCAAACAAUUUAUGAACUACAAUACCCCUGGCAAGAUGGUUGGUCCUACUAUUAUUGUAUUGACACAUGCAUGGUGCGAGAUUAACACAGGUUUGUGACCAAAAAGUUGUAUUUUUGCCGUUGCUGUACUUGCACGUUAUCUCUAAACCUUGCAAUGUUUGAACUUUUGAUAAAAAAUAUGUGUCUUCUGCAGUUUCUGGAGCACGGAGUCUCUCAAAUGCAUGGAGUGGCUCAAGAGUUCUCAUUAAUGUGGAACAUCCCCAAAUUGAUGAAUUCAAAGCAAGCUAUGGAGCAGCUGAAAAUUCCAAUGUUCCUGCUCUUUCGCUGUCCUUGACUUGUGAAUCGUCCCUUCAAUCUGCUAACAAAAGCUGGACCAGCCUCAACGAAGUCAGAAGUAUUCGUUCAAUCAAGGAAGGAAAGAAGGACUGUUUUGCAACCACCAUUGGCACUACAAAACAUUUCAAAGCUUCCAGGUUUGGCUGGUUUUUUUAAUCAUGCCCUGGCUGCAGAGCUUCUAACAAGUCACAAGGUGAAACAUUUGAAUGUGCAUGCGGAAUUACCAAUGUC